CCUACGGGAGGCUGUAGUGAGGAAUAUUGGUCAAUGGACGAGAGUCUGAACCAGCCAAGUAGCGUGAAGGAUGACUGCCCUAUGGGUUGUAAACUUCUUUUAUAAAGGAAUAAAACGAGGCACGUGUGCCUUUUUGCAUGUACUUUAUGAAUAAGGAUCGGCUAACUCCGUGUCAGCAGCCGCGGUAAUACGGAGGAUCCGAGCGUUAUCCGGAUGUAUUGGGUUUAAAGGGAGCGUAGAUGGGUUGUUAAGUCAGUUGUGAAAGUUUGCGGCUCAACCGUAAAAUUGCAAUUGAUACUGGCAGUCUUGAGUACAGGUGAGGUAGGCGGAAUUCGUGGUGUAGCGGUGAAAUGCUUAGAUAUCACGAAGAACCCCGAUUGCGAAGGCAGCUUACUAAACUGUGACUGACAUUGAUGCUCGAAAGUGUGGGUAUCAAACAGGAUUAGAUACCCGGGUAGUC
rnacentral:rRNA from 1 species